UUAUAACCGGCGAUACCCGAAUGGGGAAACCCAGUGUGACUCGUCACACUAUCAUUAACUGAAUCCAUAGGUUAAUGAGGCGAACCGGGGGAACUGAAACAUCUAAGUACCCCGAGGAAAAGAAAUCAACCGAGAUUCCCCCAGUAGCGGCGAGCGAACGGGGAGGAGCCCAGAGCCUGAAUCAGCAUGUGUGUUAGUGGAAGCGUCUGGAAAGGCGCGCGAUACAGGGUGACAGCCCCGUACACAAAAGCGCAUGUGCUGUGAGCUCGAUGAGUAGGGCGGGACACGUGGUAUCCUGUCUGAAUAUGGGGGGACCAUCCUCCAAGGCUAAAUACUCCUGACUGACCGAUAGUGAACCAGUACCGUGAGGGAAAGGCGAAAAGAACCCCGGCGAGGGGAGUGAAAAAGAACCUGAAACCGU
rnacentral:rRNA from 2 species